CCCACUCAGAAUUAGGACCAUGUGGUCUCAGAUUCUCAUGCAAAUUCCCCUGUAAUAAUCCUAAUGCAGGCAACCCUCCAAUCAGAGAACUAACCCUUCCCUGAUACCUGAUGCCAGCUUUUCUGGUAAUGUAGGCCACUGAAGCAAAUCCAGAGAGAUUGGACUUGGGAGAGGGAGUCGCUACUGAGAUUCAUUUGGUCACUGCACUCCUUUUGCCUCCUUUGCUUCUGUUCAGUAGGGAAGGAUUUUAAUAUGUCCGUAACUGAAGCAUUUCCAGCCGGAGGAAAUAUAUAAGGAGGAGGAGCAAUAUUUAGAAGCAGCCCAAAAGGCAAGACCUGACCUAAGAAGAAAGGAUAAAGGUGCACAUCCAUGAAAGUAUGAGGUGGCUCUUGGGCAAUAGCUGGAAUAAAUUUGGACAUGCUGACCGGGGAAACUAUGACUGGUUAACCAAUGAGCCAGGUAUGCCACUCCUGGAAACACAGCUUCAGAGUCAGCAUAAAACAAGCUCCACCAAAGAAGAUAUAGAGCCAUUCUUAUGCAUCAUUCUACCAGCUACCAUGAUGCUGUUUCUGGCAUUCCUGUUGCUCUUCCUGUACAGACGCUGCCAACGUCGCAACCCUCAGGCUCAGAUCUUCAGCAUUGACCUCCCAGAGUCCCUUCCAGAGCACGAGGUGACUGAUUUCCUGUCAGUGCUGCCCUGGAGCAGUGAACAGAACUUUCACUAUUCCACUCUUCUGCCUGAAACUGCCUUUCUUACUGUAUGUUUGCCUCCAUCUUAUGAGGAAGCCACCAUGAAGGCCUCCAUGGAUGAUGACCACAUCCAGCUCUUUCAGGAUCCAUUGCCUUCUUAUGAAGAGACCAAAGAACAGUAAACAGAAAGAAAUACUUUGAUCGAAGUUCUCAUGAGGUUAUGGGUUUUAAAAAAGGAGGGGAAAGGGGGGGAAAAGAAGAAGAAAAACACCAAACAAGGAAAUUUCUAUUAGCACAAAAGAGCUUUGACUGAUCAGUAGGUUUAAUUAUAGCGAUUUUAUAUGAAAUAGUAAACAAAUUAAUUCCAUCAGAUUGAUGCAUGGGAUGGAGAAAUUUAUAACAUUAAUGCUGUACCUCAGAAUUCUGCAGUAAGUGACACAGAAUUGUUUUAGAAAACCAGUUCUGAGAGAUGUGGACUACAGCUGCUGUUGUGUUACACUGGAGAUAUUGCACAGACACAACAUACACACAAAUAAAGACAGACAUGUCAAUCUCUGAAAGGGCUUU
rnacentral:lncRNA from 1 species